rnacentral:rRNA from 1 species
UGGCGGACGGGUGAGUAACGCGUGGGUAACCUGCCCCAUACCGGGGGAUAACAUUCAGAAAUGAGUGCUAAUACCGCAUAAGACCACAGUGCCGCAUGGCACAGGGGUCAAAACUCCGGUGGUAUGGGAUGGACCCGCGUCUGAUUAGGUAGUUGGCGGGGUAACGGCCCACCAAGCCGACGAUCAGUAGCCGACCUGAGAGGGUGACCGGCCACACUGGGACUGAGACACGGCCCAGACUCCUACGGAAGGCAGCAG